rnacentral:lncRNA from 1 species
CAUAGACAUUUUAUUUUUCUCCAUCAUCCACACUGUUCAAAGUCAUUUAGAUGAUAAUUAUGUACCCACCAGAAACUAUUGACAACAGUUCGAAUGAAUAUGGCUCCAAAUUGAGUCUUGAAGAAAUUAUCCAGCUGAAAAAAAUGGACACCGAAUAAUACGUUUUAUUAUAUUAACAAUUAAACAAUGUAAGGAUGGUAUCAAGAUGGCAUAUGAUGAAUUAAAAUGAAGAUGAUCAUGAAGAAGAUGAUCAUGAUUAUGAUCUUGUGAAGCUCCUUUCAGAACAACUAACGACACUAUCAAUGGUAAAAUUAAAUCAAAUUAGUUACCUGGGUAGCCACUUGAUUUGCCAAUUUCAGGAACUCUGGUGAACUGCUGUUGAUCAGAGAGCUAUUGAAGGUCAAUGUUAGGCUGAACUGCAGUGACAAUUGAAGUGUGGUCGGUGGAGCAUCUGUUGCUGAGGUUAACUUUGUAGCUGUUGUGUUGACUACUGUGGUACUUACGCACAUGCAUUUACACACAAACUGUUGGUGAACUGCAUCCCCUUUUGACUUCCCACACUGUUUAUCACUAUCCAGCUGAGUCUGUUCCUUUCCCUCAAGGUUAGAAACCUCUGGCAGUUUUUACUCCUUUUACCAUCUGUCCUCUGUGACCAUGGGCACACUAAAUACUCACACACAUUUCUUUCCCUCUACAGCCUCUACUAGAUUUUCUGGGACUAAUCGGACUAAUCAAUCACUACAUUGAUCAUUACAUUGAUUAUUCAUUAACCAUGCUGUAUGACUAAUAAUUCAUCAUGGUUUAUUGAUUCAUUUAGCUUUAUUAGAUAAUUCUCUUAUCAAUUCCACCCUUAAAUGAUUAAAUAAUUCACCAUGAUGAUCAAACGCUAUAUGGGAACACUACUAAUCACAUGCUAUAUGUAACACAAUUAAUCACAUGCUAUAUGUAAGCACUAUUAAUCACAUGCUAUAUGUAAACACAAUUAAUCACACGCUAUAAGUAAACACAAUUGUGAUACAAGACUUUAACAAAACCAAGACAUGAAUAUUCCUCCUAUACUCAUCAAUGACUGUCCUAGGCCUAUUUCCAAUUAUGACACUUCGAUUCAGGAUUUUCAUCAUAAUUUUCAUUAAAGGAACAGUCAAUCUAAACGUUGAAAAUUGUUUCAUCAAACAUUGGCAUCUCAUGAUAAUAAAAAGAAACGGAGCCAUCUUCCUGGCCUGGAGGGCCGCAUUCGCCAUCCCACUGAUCGGUGCUCGGAAUCGGUCCAUAUCUCACCAACUGCUGCGUCAUCGAUCUCUCGAGAGUCCUGGUGAUUAAACCUCUAGCACGGGACGAUACAACAUCCACACAACACAAACACACUCAUACAGGUGAAAGCAGCCCAUAAUACAGUUCUUACCACACUUUUCCAUUUCCCAAACAUGGGCUGUGUUAUCAGGAAUGUACGUGCAGCAAUGAACCUAAUCAUUCUACCUACACCGCCCUCUUCUGCCAAUAACAUAUCGCGAGUCAGUCUAUUUUACCCGGCCAUGAGGGAGAUGGCGGAUAAUUGGUCAGAGAACCUCUUUACUGCAUCCCCGGUUUCAUUCAUGAAUCUCUGUUGAUUAUAAAAGGUGUCAUUAAUCCAAUCCACAUUUUUAUUUAUUGUCAACCACCAAAAUAAUGUAGUGUUAAAGCCUUCACAUAUUUGAUUCACAGCUUUGUAUUCAUCUGGAACUUCCCUGAAGAUGCCAAUAGCAUCCAUCUAGACAAAGCUACUCCCAUCCUGGUCAAAACUCCUCCUGUGCCUACUUUAGCCUCCUAUAACUGGCCUCUGAUGACUAACUCGAACUGGUUGGACCUAUAACCCCACCCUUUGUGGUAAUUUGUCGUAUGCUUCCUUUGCUGGUACUAGCCCACCCUACAUCAGUUAUAGGUGCUGGGUUAGCUGGAGGAGCUGUUGUGUUAACAAUAUUUGUCGUUGAAGCUGCUGUGGUCGUUGUGGGAGCAUCUGUGGGUGUUGUGGGGAUGGCUGUGGUUGUUGUGCGAGGAUCUGUGGUUUUUGUUGGAGCAGCUGUGGUAGUUGUUGGAGACGCUGUAGUUGAUUUGGGAGCAGUUGUUGUUGUUGUUGGAGUAUCUGUGGUUGUUUUAGCCCCAAUUGUAGUUGUCGUUGGAGCUUCUGGGGUUGUUGUGGAUGUAUCUGUGGUUGUUUUGGGAGAUUCUGUGGUUAUUGUGGGAGCAGCUGUGGUUGUUGUGCGAGCAGCUGUGGUUGUUAUGCGAGCAGCUGUGGUGGUUGUGGGAGCAUCUGUGGUUGUUGUGAGAGUUGAUGUGGUUGUUGUUGGAGUAUCUGUGGUUGUUGUCGCUCCAGUUGUAGUUGUCAUUGGAGCUACUGUGGUUGUGUUGGGAGCAGAUGUGGGUGUUCUGAGGAUAGAUGUGGUUGUUGUGGGUGCAUCUGUGGUUGUUGUGGGAGAUUCUAUGGUUAUUGUGGAAACAGCUGUGGUUGUUGUGGGAGCAGCUGUGCUUGUUGUGCGAGCAGCUGUGGUUGUUGUGGGAGAAGCUGUGGUUGAUGUGGGAGCAGCUGUGGUUGUUUUAGGAGUAUCUGUUGUUGUUGUAGCCCUAAAUGUAGUUGUCGUUGGAGCUGAUGUUGUUGCUGUGGGAGAAGCUGUGGUUGUUGUGGGGACGGCUGUGUUUGUUGUGGGUGCGUCUUUGGCUGUUGUUGGAGAAGCAGUGGUUGUUGUUGGAGAAGCUGUGGUUGUUGUGGUGCUAAGGAUGUUGUGGAUGUAUCUGUGGUUGUUGUGGGAGCAACUGUCAUUGUUGUUGAGGCAGUUGUGGUUGUUGUUGGAGUAUCUGUGGUUGUUGUAGCCCCAAAUGUAUUUGUCUUUUGAGCUGCUGAAGAUGUUGUGGGAGCAUCAGUGGUUGUUGUUGGAACAUCUGGGGUUGUUGUCGGAGCAGCUGUGGUUGUUGUGGGAGCAGCUGUGGUUGUUGUGGGAGCAGCUGUGGUUGUUGUGGGAGAAGCUGUGGUUGAUGUGGGAGCAGCUGUGGUUAUUGUGUGAGCAGCUGUGUUUGUUUUGGGAGUAUCUGUAGUUCUUGUAGCCCCAAAUGUAGUUGUCGUUGGAGCUGCUAUGGUUGUUGUGGGAGAAGCUGUGGGUGAUGUGGGUGCAGCUGUGGUUGUUGUGGGAACAACUGUGGUUGUUGUGGGAGCAGCUGUGGUUGUUGUGAGAGCAGCUGUGGUUGUUGUGAGAGCAGCUUUGGUUGUUGUGGGAGCAGCUGUGUUUGUUGAGGUAUCAGCUGUGGCUGUUGGUAGAGCAGCUCUGGUUGUUGUGGGAGCAGCAAUGGUUGUUGUGGGAGAAACUGUGGUUGUUGUGGGAGAAGUAGUGGUUGUUGUUGGAGCCACUGUGGUUGUUGUGGGUGCAGAUGUGCUUGUUGUUGGAGCCACUAUGGUUGUUGUUGGAAAGUCUGGGGUUGUUGUCAGAGCAGCUGUGGUUGUUGUGGGAGCAACCGUGGUUGUUGUGGGAGCAGCUGUGGUUGCUUUGGGUGCAGAUGUGGUUGUUGUUGGAGCCACAGUGGUUGUUGUUGGAACGUCUGGGGUUGUUGUCGGAGCAUCUGUGGUUGUUGUGGGAAAAGCUGUGGUUGUUGUGGGAGUAGCUGUGGUUGUUGUGGGAGCCACUGUGUUUGUUGUAGGAGAAGCUGUGAGUGUUGGGAGAGCAUCUGUGGUUGUUAUGGGAGCAGCUGUGGUUGUUGUUGGAGCAGCUGUGGUUGUUGUUGGAGAAGCCGUGGUUGUUGUUGGAACAUAUUAGGUUGUUGUCAGAGAAGCUGUGGUUGUUUUGGGAACAGCUGUGGAUGUUGUGGGAGCAACUGUGGUUGGUGUAGGAGCAGCUGUGGAUGUUGUGGGACCAGCUGUGUUUGUUGUGGUAUCAGCUGUGGCUGUUGUUAAAGCAGAUGUGGUGGUUGUGGGAGCAUCUCUGGUUGUUGUGGUAGCAGCUGUGGCUGUUGUUAGAGCAGCUGUGGUUGUUGUGGGAGAAGCUGUGGUUGUUGUGGGAGAAGUAGUGGUUGUUGUUGGAGCCACCGUGGUUGCUGUUGGAGCCACUGUGGUUGUUUUUUGAAAGUCUGGGGUUGUUGUCGGAGCAUCUGUGGUUGUUGUGGAAACAGCUGUGAUUGUUGUGGAAGCAACCGUCGUUGUUGUGGGAGAAGCUGUGGUUGUUGUGGGUGAUGAUGUGGUUGUUGUUGGAGCCACUGUGGUUGUUGUUGGAUCAUCUAUGGUUGUUGUCGGAGCAGCUGUGGUUGUUGUUGGAAAAGCUGUGGUUGUUGUGGGAGCAACAGUGGUUCUUGUGGGAGCAGCUGUGGUUGUUAUGGGAACAGCUGUGGUUGUUGUGGGUGAUGAUGUGGUUGUUGUUGGAGCCACUGUGGUUGUUGUUGGAUCAUCUGUGGUUGUUGUCGGAGCAGCUGUGGUUGUUGUUGGAGCCACUGUGGUGGUUGUGGGAGGAUCUUCGGUUGUUGUGGGAGCAUCUUCGGUUGUUGUGGGUGGAUCUGUGGUUGUUGUGGGAGAAGCUGUGGUUGUUAUGGGAGAAGCAGUGGUUGUUGUUGGAGCCAAUGUCGUUGUUGUGGUUGCAGAUGUGGUUGUUGUUGGAGCUUCUGUAGUGGUUGUGGGAGCAUCUUUGGUUGUUGUGGGAGCAGCUGUGGUUGUUGUGGGUGCAUCUGUGGUUUUUGUGGGAGAAGCUGUGGUUGUUGUUGGAGCAGCUGUAGUUGUUUAUGGAACAUCUGUGGUUGUUGUGGGAGCAUCUUCGGUUGUUGUGGGAGCAUCUUCGGUUGUUGUGGGUGGAUCUGUGGUUGUUGUUGGAGCAGCUGUGGAUGUUGUGGGAGCAGCUGUGGUUGUUGUGGGAGCAACUGUGGUUGUUGUGGGAGCAUCUGUGGUUGUUGUGGGUGCAGAUGUGGUUGUUGUUGGAUCAUCUGGGGUUGUUGUUUUAGCAGCUAUGGUUGUUGUUGGAACAUCUGUGGUUGUUGUGGGAGCAGCUGUGGUUGUUGUGGGUGCAUCUGUGGUUGUUGUGGGAGAUUCUGUGAUUGUUGUCGGAGCAGCUGUGGUUGUUGUGGGAGAAGCUGUGUUUGUUGUGGGAGAAGCAGUGGUUGUUGUUGGAGCCACUGUAGUUGUUGUGGUUGCAGAUGUGGUUGUUGUUGGAGCCACUGUGGUUGUUGAUGGAACGUCUGAGGUGGUUGUCGGAGCAGCUGUGGUUGUUGUUGGAACAUCUGUGGUUGUUGUUGGAGCAGCUGUGGUUGUUGUUGGAACAUCUGUGGUUGUUGUGGGAGCAGAUGUGGUUGUUGUGGGUCCAUCUGUGGUUGUUGUGGCCACUGUAGUUGUUGUGGUUGCAGAUGUGGUUGUUGUUGGAGCCACUGUGGUUGUUGAUGGAACGUCUGAGGUUGUUGUCGGAGCAGCUGUGGUUGUUGUUGGAACAUCUGUGGUUGUUGUUGGAGCAGCUGUGGUUGUUGUUGGAACAUCUGUGGUUGUUGUGGGAGCAGCUGUGGUUGUUGUGGGUGCAUCUGUGGUUGUUGCGGGAGAUUCUUUGGUUGUUGUCGGAGCAGCUGUGGUUGUUGUGGGAGAAGCUGUGUUUGUUGUGGGAGAAGGAGUGGUUGUUGUUGGGGCCACUGUAGUUGUUGUGGUUGCAGAUGUGGUUGUUGUUGGAGCCACUGUGGUUGUUGAUGGAACGUCUGAGGUUGUUGUCGGAGCAGCUGUGGUUGUUGUUGGAAUAUCUGUGGUUGUUGUUGGAGCAGCUGUGGUUGUUCUGGGUGCAUCUGUGGUUGUUGUGGGAGAUUCUGUGGUUGUUGUCAGAGCAGCUGUGGUUGUUGUGGGAGAAGCUGCGUUUGUUGUGGGAAAAGCAGUGGUUGUUAUUGGAGCCACUCUGGUUGUUGUGGUUGCAGAUGUGGUUGUUGUUGGAGCAGCUGUGGUUGUUGUGGGAACAGCUGUGACUGUUGUGGGAGCAGCUGUGGUUGUUGUUGGAGCAGCUGUGGUUGUUGUUGGAGCCACUGUGGUUGUUGUGGGUGCAGAUGUGGUUGUUGUUUGAACAUCUCGGGUUGUUGUCGGAGAUGAUGUGGUUGUUGUGGGAGCAGCUGUGGUUGUUGUGGGAGAAGCUGUGGUUGUUGUUGGAGCCGCUGUGGUUGUUGUGGGUGCAUAUGUGGUUGAUGUUGGAGCCACUGUGGUUGUUGUUGGAACAUCUGGGGUUGUUGUUGGAGCAGCUGUGGUUGUUGUUGGAACAUCUCGGGUUGUUGUCAGGGAAGAUGUGGUUGUUGUGGGAGCAGCUGUGGUUGUUGUGGGAACAGCUGUGGUUGUUGUGGGAGCAGCUGUGGUUGUUGUGGGAGCAGCUGUGGUUGUUGUUGGAGCAGCUGUGGUUGUUGUUGGAGCAGCUGUGGUUGUUGUGGGAGCAGCUGUGUUUGUUGUGGUAUCAGCUGUGGUUGUUGUGGGAGCAACCGUGGUUGUUGUGGGAGCAGCUGUGGUUGUUGUGGGAGAAGCUGUGGUUGUUGUUGGAGCAGCUGUGGUUGUUGUGGGAGCAGAAGUGGUUGUUGCUGGAGCAGCUGUAGGUUUUGUGGGAGAAGCUGUUGUUGUAGCAGCAGCUGUGGUCGUUAUGAGGGAAGCUGUGGUUGUUGUUGGAGCAGCUGUGUUAUUGUUGAAUACUAGCAGAAUAUAUACCACAACCGAACCUUUACUGGAAAACAAAACAAAACCUUUUUUUAUUAGUCCAUCAGCAAGUCAUGGUCAUAUUAUUAUUAUUUUUGGAAUUAUAUACAAUUAAAUACAUGACUUAUUAACCUCUAAAUUAAUUGAUAAAUAUAAUGUGAAUCUACUAAAGAAACCCAAGAAUGUCCCAAUGUGAAUAACUACCUACCUGAAACCAAGAACCACUGUGCGAUUGAAACUGGAUCCAUUUUUGUCUUUGCAAUCACUGUCCAGCUGUAAAUAUAAGUGUUAUUUCUCAUAUUUAGUCAUGAAUACAUCCUAAAUUGUUGAAAAUCUAUCAGAAGGUACAGCUGAAGAUAAAUAGUAUAACAUAAAAAAAGGCAUAACUAAUCAUAGUUAAAAUCAUUGACUUUAUUUGAAGGUCUGCUUAUUAACUGCUUAUCAUGAUCAAAUAUUUAAUGGUUUCCUCAAACUAUUUAUAAAUCAUAUAGAAUAUGUUCACAUAUUUGUUCACAGAAAGUAGUACCUUCAAAUAAAGAGUUGCCUUUUAUUCAUUGAAUGAAUACAAUUUGAAAUACUUUACUUAAUUUAAUUAACUGAAAGUGACUUAAAGGACCAAUCAGC